rnacentral:rRNA from 1 species
GACGAACGCUGGCGGCGUGCCUAAUACAUGCAAGUAGAACGCACAGUUUAUACCGUAGCUUGCUACACCAUAAACUGUGAGUUGCGAACGGGUGAGUAACGCGUAGGUAACCUGCCUGGUAGCGGGGGAUAACUAUUGGAAACGAUAGCUAAUACCGCAUGAUAUUAAUUAUUGCAUGAUAAUUGAUUGAAAGAUGCAAUUGCAUCACUACCAGAUGGACCUGCGUUGUAUUAGCUAGUAGGUGAGGUAACGGCUCACCUAGGCGACGAUACAUAGCCGACCUGCGAGGGUGAUCGGCCACACUGGGACUGAGACACGGCCCAGACUCCUACGGGAGGCAGCCGUAGGGCAUCUUCGGCAAUGGACGAAAGUCUGACCGAGCAACGCCGCGUGAGUGAAGAAGGUUUUCGGAUCGUAAAGCUCUGUUGUAAGAGAAUAACGGGUGUGAGAGUGGAAAGUUCACACUGUGACGGUAUCUUACCAGAAAGGGCCGGCUAACUACGUG